GACAGAGGGUGCAAACGUUGUUCGGAAUUACUGGGCGUAAAGCGCGUGUAGGCGGCCCGGAAAGUCGGAUGUGAAAGCCCUGGGCUUAACCUAGGAAGUGCAUUCGAAACUGCCGGGCUUGAGUUCUGGAGAGGAAGGCGGAAUUCUCGGUGUAGAGGUGAAAUUCGUAGAUAUCGAGAGGAACACCGGUGGCGAAGGCGGC
rnacentral:rRNA from 1 species